AUACGUAUGUGGCGAGCGUUGUUCGGAAUCACUGGGCAUAAAGAGUUCGUAGGCGGAUGCGUCAGUUGGGUGUGAAAUCCCGGGGCUUACCCUCGGAACUGCACUCAAUACUGCGUAUCUGGAGUCCUUCAGGGGUAAGUGGAAUUCCAUGUGUAGCGGUGAAAUGCGUAGAUAUAUGGGGAGAACGCCAAUGGCGAAGGCAGCUUACUGGGGAGUGACUGACGCUGAGGAACGAAAGUUAGGGUAUCGAACGGGAUUAGAUACCCCGGUAGUCCUAACCGUAAACGGUGUGCACUAGUUGUCGGUCCGUUCUGACGGAUCGGUGACGUAGCUAAUGCGUUAAGUGCACCGCCUGGGUAGUACGAUCGCAAGGUUGAAACUCAAAGGAAUUGACGGGGCUCACACAAGCGGUGGAGCAUGUUGCUUAAUUCGAAGCAACGCGAAGAACCUUACCUGGGCUUGAACUGGUAGGGAUUAUCUCUGUGAAAGCAGAGUACGUCUUUUUA
rnacentral:rRNA from 1 species